rnacentral:rRNA from 1 species
AGAGUUUGAUCAUGGCUCAGGACGAACGCUGGCGGCGUGCUUAACACAUGCAAGUCGAGCGAGGCCCUCCUUCGGGGGGUGCCCUAGCGGCGAACGGGUGAGUAACACGUGGGCAACCUGCCCUCAGCUCUGGGAUAACUCCAAGAAAUUGGUGCUAAUACCGGAUGUGACCGCUGACCGCAUGGUCUGGUGGUGGAAAGAUUCAUCGGCUGGGGAUGGGCCCGCGGCCUAUCAGCUUGUUGGUGGGGUCACGGCCCACCAAGGCGACGACGGGUAGCCGGCCUGAGAGGGUGACCGGCCACACUGGGACUGAGACACGGCCCAGACUCCUACGGGAGGCAGCAGUGGGGAAUAUUGCGCAAUGGGCGGAAGCCUGACGCAGCGACGCCGCGUGAGGGAUGACGGCCUUCGGGUUGUAAACCUCUUUCAGUAGGGACGAAGCGGAAGUGACGGUACCUACAGAAGAAGCACCGGCCAACUACGUGCCAGCAGCCGCGGUAAUACGUAGGGUGCAAGCGUUGUCCGGAAUUAUUGGGCGUAAAGAGCUCGUAGGCGGUCUGUCGCGUCGGCUGUGAAAACCCGAGGCUCAACCUCGGGCCUGCAGUCGAUACGGGCAAACUGGAGUACUGCAGGGGAGACUGGAAUUCCUGGUGUAGCGGUGAAAUGCGCAGAUAUCAGGAGGAACACCGGUGGCGAAGGCGGGUCUCUGGGCAGUAACUGACGCUGAGGAGCGAAAGCGUGGGGAGCGAACAGGAUUAGAUACCCUAGUAGUCC